rnacentral:tRNA from 1 species
GGUCCGAUGGCGCAGCGGGUGAAGGCUCGCCUGCAACGCAGGAGGUUGCGGGUUCGAUUCCCGCCUCGGAACA